rnacentral:rRNA from 1 species
GGCUCUCACCUUCUAAAGAACCAUAAUGUCAUUUAUUUGACGUUAUGGGGAAUUAGGACUGUUACCUUGAAAAAAUUAGAGUGUUUAAAGCAAGCUUACGCUUGAAUACAUUAGCAUGGAAUAAUGAAAUAGGACAUCCGAUUCUAUUUUGUUGGUUUCUAGGAUCGAUGUAAUGAUUAAUAGGGAUAGUUGGGA